CCUACGGGAGGCUGCAGUGAGGAAUAUUGGUCAAUGGACGAGAGUCUGAACCAGCAAAGUAGCGUGAAGGAUGACUGCCCUAUGGUUGGUAAACUUCUUUUAUAAAGGAGUAAAACGGGGCACGUGUGCCUUUUUGCAUGUACGGUAUGAAUAAGGAUAGGCUAACUCCGUGCCAGCAGCCGCGGUAAUACGGAGGAUCCGAGCGUUAUCCGGAUUUAUUGGGUUUAAAGGGAGCGUAGGUGGGUUGUUAAGUCAGUUGUGAAAUUUUGCGGCUUAACCGUAAAAUUGCAAUUGAAACUGGCAGACUUGAGUACAGUUGAGGUAGGCGGAAUUCGUGGUGUAGCGGUGAAAUGCUUAGAUAUCACGAAGAACACCGAUUGCGAAGGCAGCUUACUAAACUGUGACUGACAUUGAUGCUCGAAAGUGUGGGUAUCAAACAGGAUUAGAUACCCCGGUAGUC
rnacentral:rRNA from 1 species